rnacentral:rRNA from 1 species
ACGAAGGGUGCAAGCGUUACUCGGAAUUACUGGGCGUAAAGCGUGCGUAGGUGGUUCGUUAAGUCCGAUGUGAAAGCCCUGGGCUCAACCUGGGAAUGGCAUUGGAUACUGGCGGGCUAGAGUGCGGUAGAGGGCAGUGGAAUUCCCGGUGUAGCAGUGAAAUGCGUAGAGAUCGGGAGGAACAUCUGUGGCGAAAGCGGCUCUCUGGACCACAACUGACGCUGAGGCGCGAAAGCUAGGGGAGCAAACAGGA